UUCAGCUAGCCCCGCAGACUGGGGCAAUUUCGCAUAAUUGGCUGAAAAUUAUGAAAUGCUACGAGGCACCAAUCGCUGCCUCAUCCUCCUUCUCCGCGUUGCGGUGGCAUCUUCAUUUCAGUCGUUGCCCGUUGAACUCCGAUGAACUCGCUGCUCCAACCUGCACCUGCAGAAAAUCCCUUCCUAAUUGCUUUGCUCAGAUCUACAAGGUAUAUGCUUCCAUCUACCCAUUUUAUAUUUCUUUUCUAUAUGGUGUUGAAUGCAACGAAUUUUUGUCAGUGUGCGUUCUUUGGCCAGCCUGUCAGCGAGUCCAACUGUUCGCCCCCAGGCCAAAACUAAAACAUCUUCCAUGUUCAGGGGUUUCAUGGGUUCCAUGGGUUCGGGCUGCUCGACUUCCUUUCACCGGCGAUCUCAACUGUAAACGUUCCAGUCACUUAGUCAACAAUCUGUUGCAUCUAAUUGUCUCUGCAACAAAUUACUCAAUUCCAGUUGAAUGCUGAAAGCAGAUCGGGCCUCAGCAUCAGCAUCAUCAUCAGCAUCAGAAUCAGCAUCAGAAUCCGAUCUCCAGAUGCAGAUGGACAACGAGAAUGAGAGAUCCCAACGAGGAGCGACGAGGCUGGUUGGUCAACAGCUGAGGGAUCCCCAACCGAUCUCCAACCGAUCUUCUCAAGAGCGGAUCACUGCGAGGACGAUAAUGAUAAUGAUGAUGACGCUGCGCCGAGUAACUCAAUCGCAGAGUCCCACAUGGUCACCCAGCUCCCAUCUCCAGAUCCAACUUGGCGAUGAGUCAAACAUGCACUUUAGUGGGCGUGGCGCACUUCCGCAAGUCAUUUGCUGCGGUUCUGGUGAGGAUCGGGGUGGUGGUCUUAUAAUGGAACAUUUUAAUGCUGAAACCGAUGCUUAAAAUCAAAGCCAUAAAAGCGAAGUGGGCAAAAAGUGCGGCACAGUGGAUGGAGUGCUCAUUUAUGUUGCACAUAUUAAAUAUAUAUCUUUAAUCAUAUAAAUACCAGACAUGUGGCCUAAUUGAGAUGAAAUUCCUUAACCCUUUGAGUCCCAAAAAAGAUUAAAAUUAGACAGCUUUUGUGCGCUUUCAGUGCCAUCGUGCAGCGUUGAUGGGGACAAUAAUGGUGCUGUCGAGAGUGCAGUUGCCACAGUCGCAAGAUAAAUACUCGAGGCAACUUGAUCAGUGGCACACGGAGAUCAUCAGCACAGCACACGAAACAUGGCCCAGAUGGAAACGAUGGAACCGAUGGAACCGAUGGAUGCGCUGCCUGGUUAAUGGAGGAGGGUAAAAACUUGCCAACGGAGACACGUCAACAAUGAGGCAUAAAAACGGGAGCACAGUCGCAUGCAACAUAAUUGAAAGCAAUUUGUGGUCCUGAAUCGGAGUCUCUGCUCCCCAGAUCUCUGGGAUCCCUGGCCACAGAUCGUCGGCAUAAACAUUACAUUGAUUGCCAUUGCCCCACACUCGCUGCUCACUUCAUCCAAUCCCCAUUCCCCUUCCAUUCCCCAUCCAUUCCCCACCCAUCCAUCCAGCCAUCCGUUCAUUCAUUCAUUCACUCACUCACCUGCCCAGCCAGUCACUCACUCACUCGCUCACUCCAUCAGUCACACGUGUUGUUUGUCAAUCUGGAGCAAGAGGAUCGCACACUUGUACACUGAAAAAAGUAUUACCUCAUCUAUCUAACAACUAAGAAGAUUGCAUUUUGAAUACAGCUGCUUCGUGUGGCAAAAGAUAGCUUCAACCCAUACUAAGCUGUCUUAGGUUUCCUUCUGAAUCUAUAGUUGUGUAUAGUGAUUUUUCUCAGUGCACAGCUGCAUGAAAUCACCAGAAGGUGAACGGCUGCUCGAGUGGAGCGGAAGUCGCUCAGUUCCGCCGCACGGCAGUCCAUCUUCACUUUCCUGCCACCUGAAACGCUCUAUUCUCGGCUCCAGAAGCGCAGAUCUUGGAUGCCCUAGUUGGAUGGGGUAGAUGGGGUUGUGUCGGCUGUUACGCAACUGUGGCAAUGUCUUUGAUUUGUAUCUGCUGGCCGCCACUUCCAAAAAAGUAAUUGCAAACAGCUGAGCAGCAUGUGCGGCCAGUUGGUUUUCCGUUUUGGAAUUGCCUUUCCCAAAAUUCCUGAAUUGUGCAACUUUUGAUUGUGAGUGCUCUAUAUUUGCGCGCUGCCCGCCAUGUGAUUACAAAUAUUGUGGCGCACUAGCAGAUUUCUUAAGUUUAAGAUUAAAACUCCCAUUUCAAGUAGCGAUACUACCGUAUUUGCCGCUGAAUUAAGUGUAGUUUACAAACCAUUUGACCGCGACAAAUGGCACUCUGCGAACCAUUAAAUUCAGGGUUGAAUCCAUGACGAAUUCACUCCUUUUCGCUCUUUUUGGGGUCAUUUCGCCGCAGAUAAGCUCCGCUGAGCAAUCAACUUGGGAAUGGGGCUUUUGGAUAUGUGUACAUACGAUAUGUGUACUGUAUACACUCAUUUCAUGUGUGAUACAUGCAGUAGCCACUUCCUAUAGAUGUCGGGGUUUUAUCAUUGCGAUGUUUUCAUUUUUGCCCGCCAGACAAUGAAUGAAAUGAGUUUCUUGCUUCAGAAGGAAACUCUGAAGUGCUCGAACUGCACAGUUGGAUGAUCGCAUAUACACACAUGUUAAAGUUCAUUUUGAGAACUUGGUCUUAGUUCUUGCUUAAGCUUUAUUCUCUGCCCAGGAAGUUUCUAAAACAAAGUCUGUUUCCCAAUUGGCCACCGCUUUGCCUCAGUGCACUUUGAAUGUCAUCUGCACGCAUUUUCGCCUACUUAGCAUUUAAGUUGCGGACUUGAACGCGCAAGGCGAACUGCAGUAUAUUGCAUAUAAUAAAAUCCAGGUGGUGCAACUGGUGUGCUGUGUGAUCUCUGGCUUGGAUCGUUCGAGUGAACAGCUGUUCGUUAAAGCUAAUGCCAAAUCACGCAUACGCCUCGUUGUGCGGCCAAGCGUUGCAAAUCGCCUGUGUGUGCUUAGGUGGCCCCCGCGAUUGCCCCAGCUGCCCCAGCAAUUCAAGUGCAGUGCCCAUCAAUAAAGUGAAAUUUGUUGGAUGGCUGGGGAGCUUCUGCUGCUGCUGCUGCUUCUGGUGGCACUGAGUCCACAUGAAUGCGGCACGGUAUCCACAUACUUGUAUUUAUUUUCAUCAGCAGCAGCUGAGCAGCAGCAACCGGACGCACGUGUUCAUUUUCAUUUGGCGCAGAGAACCCAACAAUGAUAAACAGCCGCAGUCGUGCACUGGCAAAAAAAACUUGGCUCAUGUUAGGUGGAAUUUUCGCUGGGUGUCGAUCGCCGAACGCCUUCGUUUUGGCCCGGCUCAUAUAAAUUACACAAUGCAGCCGCCGAGACGCAACAACAAAUCGAAUGGCAGCGGACCGCAACCGCCGA